AGAGUUUGAUCCUGGCUCAGAACGAACGCUGGCGGCGCGUCUUAAGCAUGCAAGUCGAAUGGCAAGAUAGAGCUUGCUCUAUCCUAGAAUGGCGGACUGGUGAGUAACGCGUGGGUGACGUACCCUUUAGCUGGGGAUAGCUCCUAGAAAUAGGAGAUAAUACCGAAUAAGCUGUGUGUUGUUAGAGGGCACACAGGAAAGUAUCUUUUGAUACACUGAAGGAACGGCCCGCGUACUAUUAGCUAGUUGGUGAGGUAACGGCCCACCAAGGCGAUGAUAGUUAUCCGGACUAAGAGGUUGAUCGGACACAUUGGGACUGAGAUACGGCCCAGACUCCUACGGGAGGCAGCAGCUAAGAAUAUUCCGCAAUGGACGAAAGUCUGACGGAGCGACGCCGCGUGGAUGAUGAAGGCCGGAAGGUUGUAAAAUCCUUUUAUAACUGAGGAAUAAGUAUUAUCAGACAAAGGUAGUAUGGUGACUGUAGGUUAUGAAUAAGCAACGGCUAAUUACGUGCCAGCAGCCGCGGUAACACGUAAGUUGCGAGCGUUGUUCGGAAUUAUUGGGCGUAAAGGGCAUGUAGGCGGUUUUGCAAGCUUGGUGUGAAAUCCUCGGAGCUCAACUCCGGAAUUGCGUUGAGAACUGCAUAACUAGAGUCACUGAGGGGCAAUCAGAAUUCCAGGUGUAGGGGUGAAAUCUGUAGAUAUCUGGAAGAAUCCCAAUGGCGAAGGCAGGUUACCAGCAGAUGACUGACGCUGAGGUGCGAAGGUGCGGGGAGCAAACAGGAUUAGAUACCCUGGUAGUCCGCACAGUCA
rnacentral:rRNA from 1 species